rnacentral:snRNA from 1 species
GUGCUAACUUCGGCAGCAUAUAUACUAAAAUUGGAAUGAUACAGAGAAGAUUAGCAUGGCCCCUGCACAAGGAUGACAUGCAAAUUCACAAAGCAUUCCACAGUUUA